rnacentral:rRNA from 1 species
CGGACGGGUGAGUAACGCGUGGAAAACCUGCCGUAUACUGGGGGAUAGCACUUAGAAAUAGGUGCUAAUACCGCAUAAGCGCACAGCUUCGCAUGAAGCGGUGUGAAAAACUCUGGUGGUAUACGAUGGUUCCGCGUCUGAUUAGCUAGUUGGUGGGGUAAUGGCCUACCAAGGCAACGAUCAGUAGCCGGCCUGAGAGGGUGAACGGCCACAUUGGGACUGAGACACGGCCCAAACUCCUACGGAAGGCAGCAG